CCUAUUGGAAAUCCCUUACUUUUUUUCUUUCCGUCUCUUUGUUUCUCUGUAUCAAUAAACCCUUACUCUCUUUUUUUUUUUAUUUUUUUCAGGAAACUAACUCCUAUUGGAAAUCCCUUACUCCUUUGCUUUCUUUCUCUUUAUUUCUCCGAAUGAAUAAACCCUAACCCUUUUUUUUAUUUUGCAGGUGCGAGUUUUGUCUAAGAUAAGUUACUGAGAAACCCUAAUAGCCAUUCAAGAAAAGAUCUCAAGAUUCAGGUCAAAAGCCAAUUCCAAUUGAUUUUUAAGGUUAAUAGCCAAUUCCAAGUGAAAGUUUUAAUAGUAAAAACUCGCCCGUGCUGCAUCUCGGUCUUGGACAAAUGCUGCAAUGGUGAUGCAAAUGGAAAAAAUGACGCUUAGUCAUGUGGAGGAUGCACAAGGGAUUUGAGGUGAGAAGAUUGUGUUAGUAAAGGGUUCAGAGGUGAUUUGUGGUAAUGGACAUCAAGGAAGAUAAACUCCAGAAGGUUUGGGAUUUUAGGGAAGCGGCAUAAGCUGUUACUGAUAGAUUAAGUUGUUACUGAUAGAUUAAGUGUUGUACUUAUAUUGGAAUCUUAAUCUCAUUAAUAAUUGUGAUUACUACUACCCAUCUGUAUUCUUGGUUCAGAUAUUUGCAUUUGCCGCUAAUGGAAAGUCAUGGCAUAAAAUAUUUGCAUACUAUUUGGUUGGUUUUGACGAAUUAUGCUUCUUCAAUAUAUUUAGUCUUAAUCAUACCAUUUUAAGUUCAUAUGGAAAAUCAUAAAAAAGUUGUCGAUGUGCUAGAGGAGAAUUUAUAUCACACUUUUACAGUAAGGACUCAAACUCUUACCUCGAUGAUGCCCACGGUAAGUGCUCUCUUAAGUUAAUUGAAGGUUUGUUUGAGUUAUUGGGAUUUGAAAGUGUUAUGGUUUGUUAAUAUUGGUCAGUUUAUUUUGUUAGAAUUUAUCUGUUCUUUGCUGCGAUCGAACUUAAGUACUGAUUAAUUGGGUAUAUAUAUUUUCUUUAAUUUUUCAGCAGUAGUGGUUACUAAUAAUGAAUCUGUCAGUCACGAUUUAGUAAUUUGAAGUAUGUUCGUUCUCAUUGCUGGUGAAUCAAUUGGCCAGGUAGCCCAAAAUUACGAAAGCUAUCAUUUUAUUCAUAGUGGGUUUCAUGUUUAGUGUUGUUCUUAAGAAAACAUAAGUAAAAUGCCGAAAUCCAGUUGAUGUUAAUUGUUCAAGGUAGUCUUAAAAGUGUAAUGGUGUAUGAUUUGAGCUAUGAUUUGAGCUAUGAUUUCCCAUGAGAAAAGAUUGGAAGAAGUACGAAUAGUUUCUGCCGGAAAAGGGAACUAGGUAAACUUCCAUCUGGUUCUUACUGAUUUCAGUAUUUUGAUUCAUUAUUUGUUAUGAGAGAGGUAGCAAGGUAUAAGUUGAUUUUCACUGUGAAAUUUUGGAAGCCUUAGUGCUGAAAGCUGAUAAAGCUGAUACCACUAAUUUUGCAUGUAGUGUGGGCAAUUUUACAUGUGCCUGGUGAGUACCUUUUCUUUUUUUGUAAUUUCAUAAUCGCCUUAGUAAUUUCAUUCUGUGUGUUCUGCGUCUUUGGAUCGUAUGCGCUUUCUGUAUUGCUUUUUUUCUUGCAGUGUGCAUUACUAUUUUCUUGGCAGUAUCUGUUUCAGACUAACAUAUCUUUCGCCGCAUGCAGCUCUUUGUGGGUUUCAAUCAUUGGUUUAUGUUAGUAUAUCCUUCAAUGACAUCCCCAUAGUGAGAUUUUUUGCCGCGUUGAUACCCUUGAAGCUGGUGCUAUAGUUGUUCUCAAAUCCGAAGGGUCAUGGAUAGACUGUGGGUAUCAGCUUACAACAUCCAUAGUGUCGCCGCCGCUGCCCAGCCUUUCUUUUUCCUUCGCUUCACAUGAGAAUACAAGGAUUAGUUGUGAUUCAAGGGGCGGUGUUCAUCCAAGCGGGGUCAUAGUUGUUCCUUGAUUGAGCAUUAUUCUAAUGUGCAGCUUGAGCAAGUAUUCUAAUAUGCUACUUUUUAGUUCAGCAUUACUUCGUUAAUGCUAAAAAACUAAAACUGCGGAGUAAGAAUCCAGAUGGUUGGUUGCUGAGCACACAUUUUGCACUCCAUAUUAUCAUCUCAAUUGUACGACUGAAUUAAUUAUGGGUCUAUAUGAGGUAAAACUUUGCGCUGUAUAAUUUCUGGAAUUGAUUCACUCAUUAAAAUUGUCAUACUGAAAUUGAACAUCAACUGUUCUACCGCACAUUGGUAGGAAACUGGCCAGAAAAUGAUAUCUUCAUACCCUGAAGCACUUUAUACUUAUGGGAUGUGAACGUGAAGAUGACCUACUGAUGUUAAUUGAAUAUGGUAUGUUAUAACUGUUUGAUUUUACAAGAAUGUAGCCUGCUUGAUUUCAUUGGCUUAGUUGGUUUUGCUCUCCCUCAAGUCGGUGACGUCAUCUUUGAAUUCUGGUCAUGCAAAUUUCAUCAUUUGCGGAUCAGUUCAGCAACUCACACAAUCUGACAUUUCCUUUUCAUUUUUAAUGCACACGCCUUGACUAUGUAUAUACUUAGGACUUGACCAAUGAUAUUGGCACUGACUGAAUGGACAAUGUAAGGGUUAAACACGGAUACAUUAAAGAUGUGUUCACUAUCCAAAAGGAUAUGACCGAAUACUUGCUUUUCCAAUGAUAUUGCCACUGAAUGGUCAAGUUAA